UAUUUCUCAUUCCAGACCCAACAACAACAGCAGCACCCACCACACCCGCUGCCACCAGCCACAGCAGCCAGCUCACCAGCAAGGACAUCUCCCGGCACAGCCCGCAUCCAGGAACAAGCAACAAGAACACACUGAAUUCUAUCUGUGAAGUUUUCCUCUGGGUUCGAGUGGCUGGCACCUGCCUCCUGCUCCUCACUGCCAUAACCAUCACCAUCGCGCUCUGCCAAAGAACAAGCAACGAGAACAAGCUGAAUUGGUCCUGCUGUAAAUUCAUCCUGUCGGUUAACCUGGCUUGCACCUGCCUCCUGCUCCUCACUGCCAUAACCAUCACCAUCCUGCUCUUCCAAAGUAAGUCGCACCCUCACACCCUGCAGAGCUUCCUGCAGCCUCACACCAAAGAGCACAGCCUGCUCCUCCAGGGGAAUGGGCUCUCUGCCUAUUGCCCUCACGCACCCAUUGCAUAUCCAGGACACAGCAAAUGCAGAAGGACCACUCUUAAAAUCCUUUUCCUUAUUUUCCUCAGCUCUAUUUUACGCAUAAGAAGUAUUUAUCACAUUCUCCACUGACAGACAAGAAUUGAAAACACAGAAACCUGAUUCUACCAGACGGCAUUGUCUCUAUCAUCCUGAAAUCCGCAUAUCAUGGUUGGAAGAAGCAGAACCCAAAGCACUGUGGAAUAUCAGCAGAAACAUGCCUCAGAAUGGGUCUUGAUAAUCCAAAUGCCAACAUUCUCAAAAUCAGCUGGAGCUAUAGGCAAACUAGCUCUUUAAUUACACACUUUCAGAGCCUGCUACGCUGAAAGCAGUGAGGCU